rnacentral:rRNA from 1 species
GACGAACGCUGGCGGCGUGCUUAACACAUGCAAGUCGAACGGAAAGGCCCUGCUUUUGUGGGGUGCUCGAGUGGCGAACGGGUGAGUAACACGUGAGUAACCUGCCCUUGACUUUGGGAUAACUUCAGGAAACUGGGGCUAAUACCGGAUAGGAGCUCCUGCUGCAUGGUGGGGGUUGGAAAGUUUCGGCGGUUGGGGAUGGACUCGCGGCUUAUCGGCUUGUUGGUGGGGUAGUGGCUUACCAAGGCUUUGACGGGUAGCCGGCCUGAGAGGGUGACCGGCGACAUUGGGACUGAGGUACGGCCCAGACUCCUACGGGAGGCAGCAGUGGGGAAUAUUGCACAAUGGGCGGAAGCCUGAUGCGGCAGCGCCGCGUGCGGGAUGACGGCCUUCGGGUUGUAAACCGCUUUCGCCUGUGACGAAGCGUGAGUGACGGUAAUGGGUAAAGAAGCACCGGCUAACUACGUG